GCCCGUGUGAUGGAAUGGUAGACAUAACGGACUUAAAAUCCGUGGAGCGCAAUCUCUUGCCGGUUCGAGUCCGGCCACGGGUAC
rnacentral:tRNA from 1 species